GAUGGACUAAAAUGAAAACCACUGCACAAGAGGCAGACAUAAAUACCGAAUCAAUAACAGCAAAUCUCAGCAAAAGAAAUGCCAAAAUGUUGCAACAGGAGAAGCAAUGAUAUUAAAAAUUUGAGCAUCUGAAACUUCAUUGAUAAUUUAAUCACUAUUUUCACAACCACAAGUUUAUGGUAAAUUAAAUUGGAAAUGGGUAAACAUGACUGAUUAUAUAAAAACUUGACCGUCUGACAAAGGCAACAAAACCAACCUAUGAAAAUGAUUGAUAAGCACAUAUGUAGGCUUGAUAAAUGAUAAAUAGAUAUGGUCAAUCUGUGAGAGUAGUUACGUGCAUCCCAUUUUGUUCUUGCUCUAGCGGCCAAGGUUCCAGUCUAGGCGUAAUUGGUUCUUUAGUACUCCAAAAAGAUACAUUGUAGCUCUUUAUCGUUUAUCUAACCACAACCAAUGGUCUUUUCUCCAGUAACUGAUAAGUGAUUAAUGAGUUAAUAGCAAAUCAAAGAUUUCAACCCAGACUCGAUUGAAGCAUGAGUUUAGAAGACAGAUAAGUGAACCAGACUGGCAUCAUUUCUCUCUCCUGGUUCAAUUUGUUUUUUCUUUAAAAAAAAAAAAUCAAAUGUUGGAUUUGAUUGAUUCAAACCGGAUUGAACCAGAAUUAGAAUCAAGAGUAACCAGCGAUAUGGUCCCGAACCCUCGGUUCUAGGGACUGGAAUCAGCACGGCCACUGGCCAAGUGUAGGACAAGGUUUCUGGGAAAAAAAAAAAAAAAGCUUUUAUCUUGAAAAUAUUUGACCAUAAUCAGAAGAUUAGGACCAACAAGCACUAUAUCCUCAAAGAGUAUUAAUUCUAAACUAAAUGAUGUUUGAGAUUAAUAGCUUAAAUCCUGUUCAUGUUAUACCACAAACCUGUUUUCAAGGUUCAACAUGAGAUUGCCAUUAUUCCUGAUGUUUCCCUCAACAAAAUUGUUUGCAUUCAUUUAAAAUCUUGAAAAACUUUCAACACCAUCCAUUGUAUUUUUUCUGGCCUCAGUUCAAGAACUUCCUCUUGUCUAUAAAUGUCAACUGCACAAGACUUAAAUAUUAUUUCACUUGAGUUUGACACUCUCUCUGUCUCUCAGCCGCUACACUUAAGAUUUCAUCACUGAAUUUCUAUUUUCUUGCAUACUCUCCCCCACCAUAAAUUAUAUUAAUUGACCAUAACAAAUGGAAUAACUGUCCUACAAGGUAGUGACACAACAAGUAAUCUCUUAAAGAGCCUUCAAAUUCAAGCUUCACUAUUACACAGCCUUACAGAUACUACCAGCACAAGUCUCGAACAACUUGGCCAUCUGAACCGCAUUAAUUUACUUGAGUAUACAAUGCAUGGUCCAUUCUUAACCAACCUAUACAAAAUUUUUUUUGUUAUUCAAAAUCCAUGCUGCAGACA
rnacentral:misc_RNA from 1 species